ensembl:lncRNA
UGUGUCCUUUAGGUCUUUAAAUAGUAGAUGGACUGCCAUAUAUGUAGUAAUGUAGCAACAUAAUAUAUUGGAAAUGUGUUAAUUACUUUGUUUCAUUUCAGGUCCAAAAACUUUCUGCCUUGGGCUAUAUGCCCAUAUUAUUUAUCAGCCAGAGGCACAAGGGCACAGGCAAGUAGAUGGCAGAUGUAGUCACGCAUCUGCCACCAACGCAAAACAACACGCGUUUCUUAACCAGCAUGAAGAGGGUAUAUGACUUCAUAAUCAAACUGGAUGAUGUGCCCCAGCCCCAGCCCCAGAAAGACCAGCCCCUGCCCCUAGACCAGCCUUAGCAAGACCAGCCCCUAUACCAGCCCCAGAAAGACCAGCCCCUCCCCCUAGACCAGCUAAUCCCACAAGACCAGCCUACCCCAACAGACCAGCAAAUUAUUACACUUGAACUAUUUACGAUCAACUCCCAGGCUCAGCAGCAUGUGGAGCCUCUACCACCCAGGAAAAGACAAACCCCACUAUCCACCCCGGGCCUACCAUCCACCCCAGGCCAAGGCAGACGAGCCCCACCAUCCAUCCAACCUCAGCUAAAGAAAAGACAAACCACAGGUAAAGGAGCCACACAAGCCCCACCCUCUACCCUGGCCAAAAAGAAGAAAACAAAAAGUUGCAAAUGCAGUCGACAGACAAUUUAUCCAUACGAUAAAAUAUUGGAAAGACGGAUGAAUGGGGGGAAGGCAGCAGAGGUCAAAGUGCACUGGCUACCUUGCUCUUCCUGUGGCAGAGUCUGGAAGGACACCUGGGAGCCAGCCAGCAAAUUCACCUGAUGACCAAUACUGUUGUACUAUUUGUUUUGUAUAUAUUUGUCAAUAAUUAAAUGGACUAUUGUUAUAUUUUAAGAUUUGUCUGUCAAUCAAUGACUGCACUGAAAAAUUAAUGUGUCAUGACUUUGUGAUGUAUUUGAGUACAACUAAGCAACUAACUAAGCAAGCCAAAAGCCAAGGCAACCAGAACAAGUACCAAAUUGGCAUUAUACUAACUGAUCAUGAAAAUUUUAGUUAGUAUUGAUGGUAAUUUUGGAGCAAAGUAAAUGGACUCCUAUCCCUGGUGACAGAUGCCUCCUGCAUCAGGAUGUAUUACUGAAUCCUUUUUUUUUUUACCUCUGAUCACUAGCACACAACAUUUUGUUUUUGUUAUCAUGGUUGUCUGUUCAGAACAAUUAUGAGAGUUCUUAAGACAUUUCAAACAUCCCCAAUGAAGAGAAGACGCACAUUUAUCAAUUUUCAUCAAUGGUACAUGGGUCAGCAAUGAUUUUUCAGGUCAGGAAAAAACUAUGACAAAAAAUAUGAAAGUGAUUUGAAAUCACACAGCGUCUAAAGCGCCACUCAGGCCAUUUUUUCAUAUUCUUUGCCUCAGACAAAGACAGAUUGGUGUCAAAUUUCACAAAUAAUUUCCUCAUCCUCUGUGUCAACAAUUAACAUACAGUAUGUGCAUGACAUAAGGUGAUCAGACUUCAGAGAUCAGAAAGACCGGAGACAUGAGCCUGAGAAAUCGUUAAAGCCAGGAACAAUUCCAGCUUGGCCAUCAAUAUAAUUUAAAAGUCUAAUGUUUCCUUGUCAUAAAACCAGGGAGAGAGGUAGGUUUCCUAUGUUUCCCUGACAAUAGGGAACGUGCCAGGACACUGAGGACAUCAAUCUGGUCACCCUGGAAUUACUUGACUGUGGGCGUUUUACUAAGGCCUAUGACAGUGGUAGGAAAUCUAAGGCCUGGUUGUCCAAUGUGGGCCACAUGUGGCCUGAUGUGCUGUUUAAUCUGGCCAAUGUCUUCAUGAUCAAAGGCCUCUGGCCUUAAUUGUCAGGAAAAUGUUGCAUUAUUCAUAAAAAACACUCAGUCCCAACUUAUUCUAACCCUACCCCUUACUCUAUCUUUAUUCUCCAUGCCAAAUAUGAGUUCUUAUCCUCAGGCAUAUGAUAUAGGGGACCCAAAUGUAAACUAAAUAUUUCUAAACUAUAGGCCUAUUUUAAACCUACCUCAAUUAAAAUUUUAAAUAAUGUUGCUUGAGGCUGCAGCGGUUGUGCAAUUGCUUCAUGAUAUAAUGCAGAUAGGGUUGUGUGUAGGUUGAAAGAUGAGCACUAGACUGUGGCUUUGAUGCGCUUCACUCUGGCUACAUAUCACUUUAUGUUGUUUUUUAUUGUAAGUAUAUGUCAGAUGUAUGAUAAAAUAAUAUGUUAAGUCUUGAAGCAUUUGAACUCAAGGCAAAUAUCCCUCUGGGGACAAUAAAGGAGGCUAUCACCUGCA